GACAGAGGCCUCAAGCGUUAGGCGGAAUCAUUGGGCGUAAAGAGCGUGUAGGCGGCCCGGUAAGUCCGCUGUAAAAGUCAAAGGCUCAACCUUUGAAUGUCAGUGGAUACUGCCGGGCUAGAGUCCGGAAGAGGCGAGUGGAACUCCUGGUGUAGCGGUGGAAUGCGCAGAUAUCAGGAAGAACACCAACGGCGAAGGCAGCUCGCUAGGACGGUACUGACGCUGAGACGCGAAAGCGUGGGGAGCGAACAGG
rnacentral:rRNA from 1 species